rnacentral:rRNA from 1 species
UGGGGAUAUUGCACAAUGGGGGGAACCCGUGAUGCAGCGACGCCGCGUGGGUGAAGGAGCGUUUCGGCGCGUAAAGCCCUAUCGGCAGGGAAGAAGGAGGACGGUACCUGACUAAGAAGCCCCGGCUAACUACGUGCC